UACCUGGUUGAUCCUGCCAGUAGUCAUAUGCUUGUCUCAAAGAUUAAGCCAUGCAAGUCUAAGUACGAGCUCUCGUACAGUGAAACUGCGAAUGGCUCAUUAAAUCAGUUAUGGUUCAUUUGAUCGUACAGUUUACUUGGAUAACUGUGGUAAUUCUAGAGCUAAUACAUGCGAGAAGCGCCGACCUCGCGGGAGGCGUGCAUUUAUCAGACCAAAAACCGGCCGCGUCUUCGGGCGCGUUCGCCUUGGUGACUCUGGAUAACUUUGCGGAUCGCACGGUCUAGCACCGGCGACGGAUCAUUCAAGUGUCUGCCCUAUCAACUUUCGUCGGUACGGUAUUUGCCUACCGAGGUUCUUACGGGUGACGGGGAAUCAGGGUUCGAUUCCGGAGAGGGAGCCUGAGAAACGGCUACCACAUCCAAGGAAGGCAGCAGGCGCGCAAAUUACCCAUUCCCGACGCGGGGAGGUAGUGACGAAAAAUAACAAUGCAGGACUCGUUCGAGGCCCUGUAAUUGGAAUGAGUACACUUUAAAAGCUUUAACGAGUAUCCAUUGGAGGGCAAGUCUGGUGCCAACAGCCGCGGUAAUUCCAGCUCCAAAGGAUAUAUUUAAGUUGUUGCGGU
rnacentral:ncRNA from 1 species